UACGUAGGGUGCAAGUGUUGUCCGGAAUUAUUGGGCGUAAAGAGCUCGUAGGCGGUCUGUCGCGUCGAAUGUGAAAACCCGGGGCUCAACCCCGGGCCUGCAUUCGAUACGGGCAGACUAGAGUUCGGUAGGGGAGUCUGGAAUUCCUGGUGUAGCGGUGAAAUGCGCAGAUAUCAGGAGGAACACCGGUGGCGAAGGCGGGACUCUGGGCCGAUACUGACGCUGAGGAGCGAAAGCGUGGGGAGCGAACAGG
rnacentral:rRNA from 1 species